CUCUUAUUGCAUGGAAUAUCUUAGGCAUUGGAGGAUGUAGCGGUUUGCGGCGGUGAAUACACUUUUUACACGAAUCGAAGGUACUUUUUAUCCGGUAUCAUCCAUCUUUUUACCUUGGAAUUUUGCAUGCACGUGUAAACGGCAUCACCCUUUUGCGUGUUUUGAUAAAUGAACCACGAGCUCCCUCAUCCCCUUAACCGACCUCUUUCAGCCCUCUUGAUUCCACUCCAUCAAUUUUCAAUCACAAAGAAGUCUCCGCUCCGCUCCCGCGUAUAUCGUUCCUCCUUUAAACGGUUCCAUUUCCUUAUUUUCAGUUGACGAUCUAAUUGGCUAAUGGGAGAAAGCGAUCACGAUGGUACAACGAUGCAGAGAUGAAACGGAAUAAUACAAUGAUAGGCGAAUAAAAGAAAAUUUGUUUAAAUAUAGGUAUACAUACUAUGGCAUAGGUAGGAUUAGCAGGUAGCUUGGAAAUUAU
rnacentral:misc_RNA from 1 species